CAGUAGCCACGGUAAUACGAAGGGUGCAAGCGUUACUCGGAAUUACUGGGCGUAAAGCGUGCGUAGGUGGUGGUUUAAGUCCGUUGUGAAAGCCCUGGGCUCAACCUGGGAAUUGCAGUGGAUACUGGGUCACUAGAGUGUGGUAGAGGAUAGUGGAAUUUCCGGUGUAGCAGUGAAAUGCGUAGAGAUCGGAAGGAACAUCUGUGGCGAAGGCGACUAUCUGGGACAACACUGACGCUGAGGCACGAAAGCGUGGGGAGCAAACAGGAUUAGAUACCCCUGUAGUCCCUGUCUCUUAUAC
rnacentral:rRNA from 1 species